rnacentral:rRNA from 1 species
AGCGAACGUUAGCGGCGGGCCUAACACAUGCAAGUCGAACGCGAAAGGUCUUCGGACUGAGUAGAGUGGCGCACGGGUGAGUAACACGUAGGUAAUCUACCCUUUGGCGGGGGAUAACGUUCCGAAAGGAGCGCUAAUACCGCAUAAGACCACGGAGUCUCCGGACGCUGUGGGAAAAGGUGGCCUCUUCUUGAAAGCUACCACCGAAGGAUGAGCCUGCGUCCCAUCAGCUAGUUGGUAAGGUAAUGGCUUACCAAGGCGAAGACGGGUAGCUGGUUUGAGAGAAUGAUCAGCCACACUGGCACUGGAACACGGGCCAGACUCCUACGGGAGGCAGCAGUGAGGAAUAUUGCGCAAUGGGCGAAAGCCUGACGCAGCGACGCCGCGUGGGGGAUGAAGGUUUUCGGAUUGUAAACCCCUUUCAUGAGGAAAGAUAAAGUGGGUAACCACUUAGACGGUACCUCAAGAAGAAGCCACGGCUAACUUCGUGCCAGCAGCCGCGGU